UACGAAGGGGGCUAGCGUUGUUCGGAAUUACUGGGCGUAAAGCGUGCGCAGGCGGUCUUGCAAGACAGAGGUGAAAUCCCCGGGCUCAACCUGGGAACUGCCUUUGUGACUGCAAGGCUAGAGUACGGCAGAGGGGGAUGGAAUUCCGCGUGUAGCAGUGAAAUGCGUAGAUAUGCGGAGGAACACCGAUGGCGAAGGCAAUCCCCUGGGCCUGUACUGACGCUCAUGCACGAAAGCGUGGGGAGCAAACAGG
rnacentral:rRNA from 1 species